rnacentral:rRNA from 1 species
CCGCGUGAAGGAUGAAGUCCUCUGGAUUGUAAACUUCUUUAUAUGGGACGAAACCCUCGGAUUCUCCGGGAUUGACGGUACCAUAGGAAUAAGCACCGGCUAACUCCGUGCCAGCAGCCGCGGUAAUACGGAGGGUGCAAGCGUUAUCCGGAUUCACUGGGUUUAAAGGGUGCGUAGGAGGACUGGUAAGUCAGUGGUGAAAUCCCCGAGCUUAACUUGGGAACUGCCGUUGAUACUAUCAGUCUUGAAUACCGUGGAGGUGAGCGGAAUAUGUCAUGUAGCGGUGAAAUGCUUAGAUAUGACAUAGAACACCAAUUGCGAAGGCAGCUCGCUACACGAAUAUUGACUCUGAGGCACGAAAGCGUGGGGAUCAAACAGGAUUAGAUACCCUGGUAGUCCACGCCCUAAACGAUGGAUACUCGACAUACGCGAUACACAGUGUGUGUCUGAGCGAAAGCAUUAAGUAUCCCACCUGGGAAGUACGACCGCAAGGUUG